CUUAAUUCUCAGGGCGGGGUGAAAUUCCCCACCGGCGGUGAUUCUUUAAGAUUUAAAGACAGCCCGCGAGCGCCUUUUCAAUCGGUGAAAAGGGACAGCAGAUCCGGUGAGACUCCGGAGCCGACGGUUAAAGUCCGGAUGAAAGAGAAUGAGA
rnacentral:ncRNA from 2 species